rnacentral:rRNA from 1 species
UACGUAAGGUGCGAGCGUUGUCCGGAAUUAUUGGGCGUAAAGAGCUUGUAGGCGGUUUGUCGCGUCUGCUGUGAAAUCUCAAGGCUCAACCUUGAGCUUGCAGUGGGUACGGGCAGACUAGAGUGUGGUAGGGGAGACUGGAAUUCCUGGUGUAGCGGUGAAAUGCGCAGAUAUCAGGAGGAACACCGAUGGCGAAGGCAGGUCUCUGGGCCACUACUGACGCUGAGAAGCGAAAGCAUGGGGAGCGAACAGG